rnacentral:rRNA from 1 species
GUCGAACGAGGUGCUUUUGUAGCAAUACGAGAGUAUCCUAGUGGCGAACGGGUGAGUAACGCGUUGGUGACCUACCCCAAAGUGUGGGAUAACAGUCCGAAAGGAUUGCUAAUACCGCAUGUGGUCAUUGGAUUUAGAAACUGAUGACUAAAGGAGCAAUUCGCUUUGGGAGGGACCUGCGUCCCAUCAGCUAGUUGGUGAGGUAACGGCUCACCAAGGCGACGACGGGUAGGGGACCUGAGAGGGUGACCCCCCACAAUGUAACUGAAACACGGUCCAUACACCUACGGGUGGCAGCAGUAGGGAAUAUUGCACAAUGGGCGAAAGCCUGAUGCAGCAACGCCGCGUGUGUGAUGAAGGCCUUCGGGUCGUAAAGCACUUUCCUGGGAGAUGAGAAAGGACAGUAUCCCAGGAAUAAGUCUCGGCUAACUACGUGCCAGCAGCCCGCGGUAAAACGUANGAGGCAAGCGUUAUCCGGAUUCACUGGCGUAAAGCGCGUGCAGGUGGCGCCGGUAAGUUGGGUGUGAAAUCUCCCGGCUCAACUGGGAGAGGUCAUUCAAUACUACCCGUGCUUGAGAGCAGAAGAGGAAGAUGGAAUUCCCGGUGUAUGGUGGAAUGCGUAAGAUAUCG